UGGCGGCAGGCUUAACACAUGCAAGUCGAGCGGUAACAUUUCUAGCUUGCUAGAAGAUGACGAGCGGCGGACGGGUGAGUAAUGCUUGGGAAUAUGCCUUGAAGUGGGGGACAACAGUUGGAAACGACUGCUAAUACCGCAUAAUGUGCUUUUUGUAGUGAAAAGUACCACUCUCGCUUCUUGAUUAGCCCAAGUGAGAUUAGCUAGUUGGUAGGGUAAAGGCCUACCAAGGCGACGAUCUCUAGCUGGUUUGAGAGGAUGAUCAGCCACACUGGGACUGAGACACGGCCCAGACUCCUACGGGAGGCAGCAGUGGGGAAUAUUGCACAAUGGGGGAAACCCUGAUGCAGCCAUGCCGCGUGUGUGAAGAAGGCCUUCGGGUUGUAAAGCACUUUCAGUUGUGAGGAAAGCAUAAUGGUUAAUACCCAUUAUGUGUGACGUUAGCAACAGAAGAAGGACCGGCUAACUCCGUGCCAGCAGCCGCGGUAAUACGGAGGGUCCGAGCGUUAAUCGGAAUUACUGGGCGUAAAGCGCACGCAGGCGGUUUGUUAAGCUAGAUGUGAAAGCCCCGGGCUCAACCUGGGAAUAGCAUUUAGAACUGGCAGGCUAGAGUCUUGGAGAGGGGAGUGGAAUUUCUGGUGUAGCGGCGAAAUGCGUAGAUAUGUUGAGGAACAUCAUUGGCGAAGGCGACUCCCUGGCCAAAGACUGACGCUCAUGUGCGAAAGUGUGGGUAGCGAACAGGAUUAGAUACCCUGGUAGUCCACACCGUAAACGAUGUCUACUAGCUGUUUGUGGAUUUAAUCCGUGAGUAGCGCAGCUAACGCGAUAAGUAGACCGCCUGGGGAGUACGGCCGCAAGGUUAAAACUCAAAUGAAUGACGUGGGCCCGCACAAGCGGUGGAGCAUGUGGGGUAAGUCGAUGCAACGCGAAGAACCUGACCUACUCUUGACAUCCAGUGAAGUUACUAGAGAUAGUUUCGUGCCUUCGGGAACUCAGACACAGGUGCUGCAUGCUGUCGUCAGCUCGUGUCGUGAGAUGUUGGGUAAGUCCCGCAACGAGGCAUCCUUGUCCUAGUUGCAGGCUUAAGUGGCACUCUAGGAACUGCCGGUGACAACCGGAGAAAGGGGGGGACGACGUCAGUCUUCUUGGCCUCUACGUAGCUCACACGGGCUACAUGGCGUUACAGAGGAAGCUGACAUGGUGUGGAGCGCAACCCUCAAAAGUGGCCAACCGGAAGUGGAGCCUGCCUC
rnacentral:rRNA from 1 species